rnacentral:rRNA from 1 species
UAGUCCACGCCCUAAACGAUGGAUACUAGAUGUGGGGAGUAUCGACUCUCUCCGUAUCGAAGCUAACGCGUUAAGUAUCCCGCCUGGGGAGUACGGUCGCAAGAUUAAAACUCAAAGGAAUUGACGGGACCCCGCACAAGCAGCGGAGCAUGUCGUUUAAUUCGAUGCAACGCGAAAAACCUUACCAAGGCUUGACAUUUAAUGCAUACUAUGGAAACAUAAGAAAUUUCUUAGCAAUAAGAAACAUUAGGACAGAUGGUGCAUGGUUGUCGUCAGCUCGUGUCGUGAGAUGUUGGGUUAAGUCCCGCAACGAGCGCAACCCUUAUCGUUAGUUACCAGCACAUUAUGGUGGGAACUCUAGCGAGACUGCCGUGGAUAACACGGAGGAAGGUGGGGAUGACGUCAAAUCAUCAUGCCUCUUACGCCUUGGGCUACACACGUGCUACAAUGGCUAUUACAAAGGGAAGCGAGAUAGUAAUAUUAAGCAAAACCCAAAAAGAUAAGU